CAGCAGCCGCGGUAAUACAGAGGGUGCGAGCGUUAAUCGGAUUUACUGGGCGUAAAGCGUGCGUAGGCGGCUAAUUGAGUCGGAUGUGAAAUCCCCGAGCUUAACUUGGGAAUUGCAUUCGAUACUGGUUAGCUAGAGUGUGGGAGAGGAUGGUAGAAUUCCAGGUGUAGCGGUGAAAUGCGUAGAGAUCUGGAGGAAUACCGAUGGCGAAGGCAGCCAUCUGUCCUAAUACUGACGCUGAGGUACGAAAGCAUGGGGAGCAAACAGGAUUAGAUACCCGAGUAGUCCCUGUCUCUUAUAC
rnacentral:rRNA from 1 species